GUCUAAGGCAUACCACCCUAAAUAUUCCCCAUCUCAUCUGAUAUCUUAAGGUGAGGGUUGGGCCUAGGUUGCACUUGCAUGGGAGAGCACCUGGAAUACCAGGUGCUGUAGGUU
ensembl:rRNA 5S_rRNA 5S ribosomal RNA